UCGAGCGGAAACGAUGAUAGCUUGCUAUCAGGCGUCGAGCGGCGGACGGGUGAGUAAUACUUAGGAAUCUACCUAGUAGUGGGGGAUAGCUCGGGGAAACUCGAAUUAAUACCGCAUACGACCUACGGGAGAAAGGGGGCAACUUGUUGCUCUCGCUAUUAGAUGAGCCUAAGUCGGAUUAGCUAGAUGGUGGGGUAAAGGCCUACCAUGGCGACGAUCUGUAGCUGGUCUGAGAGGAUGAUCAGCCACACCGGGACUGAGACACGGCCCGGACUAAUACGGGAGGCAGCAGUGGGGAAUAUUGGACAAUGGGGGCAACCCUGAUCCAGCCAUGCCGCGUGUGUGAAGAAGGCCUUUUGGUUGUAAGGCACUUUAAGCAGUGAAGAAGACUCCGUGGUUAAUACCCACGGACGAUGACAUUAGCUGCAGAAUAAGCACCGGCUAACUCUGUGCCAGCAGCCGCGGUAAUACAGAGGGUGCAAGCGUUAAUCGGAAUUACUGGGCGUAAAGCGAGCGUAGGUGGCUUGAUAAGUCAGAUGUGAAAUCCCCGGGCUUAACCUGGGAACUGCAUCUGAUACUGUUAGGCUAGAAUAGGUGAGAGGAAGGUAGAAUUCCAGGUGUAGCGGUGAAAUGCGUAGAGAUCUGGAGGAAUACCGAUGGCGAAGGCAGCCUUCUGGCAUCAUAUUGACACUGAGGUUCGAAAGCGUGGGUAGCAAACAGGAUUAGAUACCCUGGUAGUCCACGCCGUAAACGAUGUCUACUAGUCGUUGGGUCCCUUGAGGACUUAGUGACGCAGCUAACGCAAUAAGUAGACCGCCUGGGGAGUACGGCCGCAAGGUUAAAACUCAAAUGAUUGACGGGGGCCCGCACAAGCGGUGGAGCAUGUGUUUUAAUUCGAUGCAACGCGAAAAACCCUACCUG
rnacentral:rRNA from 1 species